UGAUUAUGGAGGCUGAGAAGUCCCAUGGCAGGACACUUGUAAGCUGGAGACCCUGGGAUGAUAGUAGCGUGGCUCAGUCCAAGUUCUAAAGAAUCAGAACCAGGGAAGCUGAUGGUGUAAUUCUCAAUGUGAGUCCGAAGGCCUGAGAACCUGGGUGGGGCUGCUUGUGUAAGUCUCAGAGUCUCAAGGCCAGGGAGAAUGGAAUUCUAAUGUCCAAAGUUCAGGAGAUGAAGAGUGUCCCAGCUCCAGGAGAGAACAAAAGGAAACCCUUUUCUCUCUAUUUUUGUUUUAUCCUAGUCCACAGCUGCUUGAAUGAUGCUCUCCCACAUUGAGGGGAAGGCUGACUUUCUCCAAGCUGAAACUUCUGCAGAGACUUAAUGGAUUUUUGCUGAACCUGGACAAUGUGAACAGGAAAGAUUCAUCUGUGCUCACAGGUGCUGCGUCUACCAACUCCAUGUGAUUCUGGUGAAGUGGUGAAAUGUGUGGCUCCCUUAGUUAGUAAAAACCACGUAGCUCUUACUUCUUCCAGGGAUUGUUCUAAAUUCUUUUAAAAUAUUAAUUUAUUUAACACAACAAGCUUAUGUGGUGAUUUCCAUUGUUUACCUCAUUUAACAGUGUGAUGAACAUGUGACUGAGACUGGCCCAUUGGAUGACUCCACUUUCUCGAAUCAGUGAGUGGUUCAGGGUUGUCAUGUGGAUUCUUACACGGUGAACCCAGUUUAUGGCAAUUAUUGAUCUGAAUCCUGGGAGAGAGAAUUUUACUUUCCUUUUUUGUAAGAUUGCUUGUUAUGAAGAUGAUGUUUUUUAAAGUGGUUCACCUUGGAGUGUUAGUUGCUAGUUUGCUUCAUGAUAACUGCUAAAAAACUUGACGAAGCCAUGUUUGAGCCAGUCUGCCUGGAACUUUCCAAUACACGAGGCACUAAAUUACCUUUUAUACCUAAGCUGAUCUGAUGUGUUAUUGGAAGAGACCUGACAAACAGAUAUCAUAAAGCCACUGGUAUUGUCUGCAGCAAUGUUAAAUAGACUCAAUAUACAUCUAUACACCCAUAUAUGCCCUCAUAUAUGCACUAAAUACACCUUGACUUUAGGAGUUGGAGACUAAAUUGAUUUAAACUAAGAAGAAGUCAAAUAAAAUGCCUUAGAUAAUCUAUAAAUUACAAAUAAAAUAAAUAUAAAAUAUCUAAUAAGCUAACAGUUCGAGCAUUCUGCAAUUAAGGAAACUGCCUAGUUCACUUUGUUCUUUUGUUCUGUUUUGAAUUUCAUUAAUUUGCGUCUCCAUCUUUAUUAUUGUGUUUUUUCUCCUAGAUAUGUGUUUAGCUUGUUCUUAUUUUUCUGGUUUCUUUUGGGAAAAAGUUACAUUAUGGAUUUGAACAUUGUUUCUUUUCUAAUGUGUACAUUUAAUGAUAUAAAAUUCUAUCAAGGUGUUAUCCCUUUCCUACGAAUUUUGAUAUGUUGUCUUUUAAUUUUAAUUUAAGUAAAAUAUUUUUAGAUGUGUCAUUAGACUUCUUU
rnacentral:lncRNA from 1 species